ensembl:lncRNA
ACCCUUGAUGGCAGAGCGCUGGUUACGAGCCGGGAACGAGACGGGAACGAGCAUUUUUUGCUGUCUGAGCGGUGCAGAGCUGGGAAAAACACAAAUUAGCUGGGUGACGCAGACUGAUGCAACAAAAACAACCACUUGCUCCCUGCAAUGGUCAGUGGAAUGCCGCUGACCAAAUCACCUCUCCAGUGCCAUGGUGAGGUCAAGAAGCACUUGCAGCGCAUUUCUCUCCAAUACCAGAGCCAGACAUGGCUGGGGGGUAGGAAAUGGAGAAAGAAAGACAGGAAGGAAAGAGAGAAAAAAAACGGAUCUGCUAGAGGGUGUAGGGAGCCAUGGUGCUGUUCCCCAGGGCAUGAAGCAGGCAUGGAGGAGAUCCAGGCCCCACACAUCCAGAGGCCCCAGAGCGCGAAAGCCCAAGGAGGACCAUCAGAGGGGCAUCCGUGCCACCCUCCUGGGAAGAGCUGAGAAGAGCCCCAGACGAGGGGUCACCCAGCAGCCACGGUGCAGAGGGCAAAGGGGGCUGCAGUGACGUGCCUGCAUGCUCUGCUGGCAGCCAGCUGCACCAGAGUGAACCGAGCUGCAGGCCCAGAGGCCUAAGGGCCCCCCACCCCCUGGAAGGGGCCAGAGCAAGCCACGGGCGCCAGGCCACCGGGAGUGAGCCGGUACAUACCUGAGCGCCCAGCCACAGACACCUAGAACCACCAACGCCUGUGGGCAUCAGCCACGGGCAGGGAGUGUGGUGAGGGCUAUAGAGUUCUGACUGAAGCUGGAAAACAAAUACAAGUCCAAACCUUAGCAGUACAGUACCCUGACACUUAUUGUCAUCAGGUCUCUUUAACAAGAGUGAUUUGAACUGCUUUAAUUUGCUCCUUGUUUGUGAAACACUGCUCUACUUUGAAGACCGCUGAAGUCAAAUAUAUUGAAGUAAAAAAUUGCAAAGGUCUAAGAUGCCACCGGAUUUUAUGUUAAAUAACAAAUGUUUAAGCACA